GGAGUUAGCCGGUGCUUCUUCUGUGAGUGAUGUCCUUCCUGCCGGCUAUUAACCCGCAGGCCUUCUUCCUCACUGAAAGUGCUUUACAACCCGAAGGCCUUCUUCACACACGCGGCAUGGCUGGAUCAGGGUUGCCCCCAUUGUCCAAUAUUCCCCACUGCUGCCUCCCGUAGGAGUCUGGGCCGUGUCUCAGUCCCAGUGUGGCUGAUCAUCCUCUCAGACCAGCUACGGAUCGUCGCCUUGGUGAGCCGUUACCUCACCAACCAGCUAAUCCGACAUAGGCUCAUCCGAUAGCGCGAGGCCCGAAGGUCCCCCGCUUUCCCCCGUAGGGCGUAUGCGGUAUUAGCCUGGGUUUCCCCACGGUUAUCCCCCACUACCGGGCAGAUUCCUAUGCAUUACUCACCCGUCCGCCGCUCGCCACCAGGGAGCAAGCUCCCCGUGCUGCCGCUCGACUUGCAUGUGUUAGGCCUGCCGCCAGCGUUCAAUCUGAGCCAGGAUCAAACUCUGA
rnacentral:rRNA from 1 species